rnacentral:rRNA from 1 species
GACGAACGCUGGCGGCGUGCCUAAUACAUGCAAGUAGAACGCUGAAGGAGGAGCUUGCUCUUCUGGAUGAGUUGCGAACGGGUGAGUAACGCGUAGGUAACCUGCCUGGUAGCGGGGGAUAACUAUUGGAAACGAUAGCUAAUACCGCAUAACAGUAGAUGCUGCAUGACAUUUGCUUAAAAGGUGCAAUUGCAUCACUACCAGAUGGACCUGCGUUGUAUUAGCUAGUUGGUGGGGUAACGGCUCACCAAGGCGACGAUACAUAGCCGACCUGAGAGGGUGAUCGGCCACACUGGGACUGAGACACGGCCCAGACUCCUACGGGAGGCAGCAGUAGGGAAUCUUCGGCAAUGGACGGAAGUCUGACCGAGCAACGCCGCGUGAGUGAAGAAGGGUUUCGGAUCGUAAAGCUCUGUUGUAAGAGAAGAACGAGUGUGAGAGUGGAAAGUUCACACUGUGACGGUAUCUUACCAGAAAGGGACGGCUAACUACGUG